rnacentral:rRNA from 1 species
CCCUUAGAUGUCCGGGGCCGCACGCGCGCUACACUGAAGGAAUCAGCGUGGCUUUCUCCCUGACCCGAAAGGGUUGGGAAACCCGUUGAAUCUCCUUCGUGAUAGGGAUUGGGGCUUGAAAUUGUUCCCCAUGAACGAGGAAUUCCCAGUAAGCGCGAGCCAUAAGCUCGCGUUGAUUACGUCCCUGCCCUUUGUACACACCGCCCGUCGCUACUACCGAUUGAACGGUUUAGUGAGGGCCUCGGAUUGGUCUCGGCCCGCUCUUCACCGGGCGGCGCCGUUGGUCGAGAAGACGCUCGAACUUGAUCGUUUAGAGGAAGUAAAAGUCGUAACA